UACGUAGGUGGCAAGCGUUGUCCGGAUUUACUGGGCGUAAAGAGCGCGUAGGCGGCCCAGUAAGUCCGCUCUGAAAGUCAGAGGCUCAACCUCUGAAUGCGGGUGGAUACUGCUGGGCUAGAGUCCGGAAGAGGCGAGUGGAAUUCCUGGUGUAGCGGUGAAAUGCGCAGAUAUCUGGAGGAAUACCGGUGGCGAAGGCGGCAUCCUGGACCGACAUUGACGCGUGAUGAGCGAAAGCCAGGGGAGCAAAGCGGG
rnacentral:rRNA from 1 species